UACGAAGGCAGCAGUGGGGAAUAUUGCACAAUGGGCGAAAGCCUGAUGCAGCUAUGCCGCGUGUAUGAAGAAGGCCUUAGGGUUGUAAAGUACUUUCAUCGGGGAGGAAAAACAAAACUAAUAAUUUUAUUUCUUGACGUUACCCGAAAAAGAAGCACCGGCUAACUCCGUGCCAGCAGCCGCGGUAAUACGGAGGGUGCUAGCGUUAAUCAGAAUUACUGGGCGUAAAGAGCACGUAGGUGGUUUUUUUAAGUCAGAUGUGAAAUCCCUGGGCUUAACCUAGGAACUGCAUUUUGAAACUGAAAUACUAGAGUAUCGUAGAGGGAGGUAGAAUUCUAGGUGUAGCGGUGAAAUGCGUAGAUAUCUGGAGGAAUACCUGUGGCGAAAGCGGCCUCCUAAACGAAUACUGACACUGAGGUGCGAAAGCGUGGGGAGCGAAACAGGGAUUAGAUACC
rnacentral:rRNA from 1 species